rnacentral:rRNA from 1 species
UAUUGCGAGUGAAGCGGCAACAGCUCAAAUUUGAAAUCUGAUUCUUUCUCAAGAGUCCGAAUUGUAAUUUGUAGAAGGUGUUUCGGACAUGAUAAUGGUUCAAGUUCGUUGGAAUAUGACGUCAUAGAGGGUGAUAAUCCCGUCUACGGCCAAAUUAUCUGUCCAUGUGAAACCCUUUCGACGAGUCGAGUUGUUUGGGAAUGCAGCUCAAAAUGGGUGGUAAAUUUCAUCUAAAGCUAAAUAUCAGUCAGAGACCGAUAGCGCACAAGUAGAGUGAUCGAAAGAUGAAAAGCACUUUGAAAAGAGAGUUAAACAGCACGUGAAAUUGUUGAAAGGGAAGCGCUUGCAACUAGACUUGUUUGCAGUAUUCAGCCUCUUGAAAAAGUGGUGUAUUUGCUGUUAUACAGGCCAACAUCGGUUUUGGCGGUUGGAUAAAGACCUAAGAAAAGUAGCUUUCAUUCGGGAAAGUGUUAUAGUCUGGGUGUAAUGCAGCCUGUUGAGACCGAGGAGUGCGCUUCGUGCGAGGAUGUUGGCGUAAUGGUUGUCAGCGACCCGUCUUGAAACA